rnacentral:rRNA from 1 species
GACGUAGGUGGCGAGCGUUAUCCGGAUUUACUGGGCGUAAAGCGCGUUCGGGCGGCUUGACAAGUCGGGCAUGAAAUCUCUCGGCUCAACCGGGAGAGGCUGUCCGAAACUGUCGGGCUUGAGGGCAGUAGAGGCGGGUGGAAUUCCGGGUGUAGUGGUGAAAUGCGUAGAGAUCCGGAGGAACACCAGUGGCGAAAGCGGCCCGCUGGGCUGCCCCUGACGCUAAAACGCGAAAGCUAGGGGAGCGAACGGG